rnacentral:rRNA from 1 species
CUAACACAUGCAAGUCGAGCGGAUGAGAAGAGCUUGCUCUUCGAUUCAGCGGCGGACGGGUGAGUAAUGCCUAGGAAUCUGCCUGGUAGUGGGGGACAACGUUUCGAAAGGAACGCUAAUACCGCAUACGUCCUACGGGAGAAAGCAGGGGACCUUCGGGCCUUGCGCUAUCAGAUGAGCCUAGGUCGGAUUAGCUAGUUGGUGAGGUAAUGGCUCACCAAGGCGACGAUCCGUAACUGGUCUGAGAGGAUGAUCAGUCACACUGGAACUGAGACACGGUCCAGACUCCUACGGGAGGCAGCAGUGGGGAAUAUUGGACAAUGGGCGAAAGCCUGAUCCAGCCAUGCCGCGUGUGUGAAGAAGGUCUUCGGAUUGUAAAGCACUUUAAGUUGGGAGGAAGGGCAUUAACCUAAUACGUUAGUGUUUUGACGUUACCGACAGAAUAAGCACCGGCUAACUCUGUGCCAGCAGCCGCGGUAAUACAGAGGGUGCAAGCGUUAAUCGGAAUUACUGGGCGUAAAGCGCGCGUAGGUGGUUUGUUAAGUUGGAUGUGAAAGCCCCGGGCUCAACCUGGGAACUGCAUCCAAAACUGGCAAGCUAGAGUACGGUAGAGGGUGGUGGAAUUUCCUGUGUAGCGGUGAAAUGCGUAGAUAUAGGAAGGAACACCAGUGGCGAAGGCGACCACCUGGACUGAUACUGACACUGAGGUGCGAA